rnacentral:rRNA from 1 species
GAUGAACGCUGGCGGCGUGCUUAACACAUGCAAGUCGAACGGGAAUUACUUUAUUGAAACUUCGGUCGAUUUAAUUUAAUUCUAGUGGCGGACGGGUGAGUAACGCGUGGGUAACCUGCCUUAUACAGGGGGAUAACAGUCAGAAGUGACUGCUAAUACCGCAUAAGCGCACAGAGCUGCAUGGCUCAGUGUGAAAAACUCCGGUGGUAUAAGAUGGACCCGCGUUGGAUUAGCUAGUUGGUGAGGUAACGGCCCACCAAGGCGACGAUCCAUGGCCGGCCUGAGAGGGUGAACGGCCACAUUGGGACUGAGACACGGCCCAGACUCCUACGGGAGGCAGCAGUGGGGAAUAUUGCACAAUGGGGGAAACCCUGAUGCAGCGACGCCGCGUGAAGGAAGAAGUAUCUCGGUAUGUAAACUUCUAUCAGCAGGGAAGAGAUUGACGGUACCUGACUAAGAAGCCCCGGCUAACUACGUGCCAGCCGCCGCCGUAA